UUUUAACUCCUGACAGACUGGGACAUGCCCAUUCACUUUCUCACAGGCAGAAGAGUAGAAAUUGGGAACAAGUGAUAGCAUGGAUCAGGCCCUCCAACAGAUCUGCACUAAGGUCUCUGAGGGUGCAGCAUCACAACUGGUGAGAGGGAAGAAUCUGCAUGAGAGAAAGGAUGACAGAUUCUCAAAUCUUCCAAGGAGUAGAUUUUCAAAAGCAGGUGCAGCAGCACAGCAGCAACCCACCUCUGUUUCCCUGGGGACAGAAAAGUGCUACAGGAGCAUCACCGGUUUAUCUGGCACACAGGGA
rnacentral:lncRNA from 1 species